rnacentral:ncRNA from 1 species
UAAUGUAAAAGGCAGCGUUAGAGAAAUCUAAGCGUACGCAAAGCUAUAGGGCCUGUAAAAUGGUAGCCAGUUGUCAUU